CCCUAAGAGCCCGGGUCCCACAGGCAGCGGCAGCGGCAGCGACAGCCUGCCUACCCCAGGACUCCAGCCUCACCUGGCUUCUGCCUCAACUCCGCUCCUCUGCCCCCCAGCGCUUCCUGGUACGGGGCCGAGCAGGGGUUGGUGCUCCGUGCGGUCCUUCCCUCUCCCCGCCUCCACCACGGGACCCCGCCCUCCUGGGCCGACUGCAGAGCCUUCCUGAAUCCUCUGACCUCGGGCCUCAGGCUUUAGCGGAGAGACAGCAUGAUAGGCCUGGAGUUCUUCAAGAGGCCUCCUCGCACAUCCUUACCACCCGGAGAGCCUCAGUUUGGAUUUGAAGCCAUCGCACCCCAAAGGAGAUGACAAUCCCCCCCCUUUUUUGAACUU
rnacentral:lncRNA from 1 species